rnacentral:rRNA from 1 species
CUGCUGCCUUCCGUAGGAGUCUGGUCCGUGUCUCAGUACCAGUGUGGGGGGCCUUCCUCUCAGAACCCCUACGCAUCGUCGCCUCGGUGGGCCGUUACCCCGCCGACUAGCUAAUGCGCCGCAUGCCCAUCCGUGGCCGGGAUUGCUCCCUUUGGCGGCCUUGGGAUGUCCCUAGGCCGCGUUACGCGGUAUUAGACGGGGUUUCCCCCGCUUACUCCCCCUGCCACGGGCAGGUUACAUACGUGUUACUCACCCGUGCGCCGGUCGCCGGCAACGG